rnacentral:rRNA from 1 species
UACGGAGGAUGCAAGCGUUAUCCGGAAUGAUUGGGCGUAAAGCGUCCGCAGGUGGCAGUUCAAGUCUGCUGUCAAAGACCGGGGCUCAACCCUGGAAAGGCAGUGGAAACUGAACAGCUAGAGUGCGGUAGGGGCAGAGGGAAUUCCCAGUGUAGCGGUGAAAUGCGUAGAGAUUGGGAAGAACACCGGUGGCGAAAGCGCUCUGCUAGACCGCAACUGACACUCAGGGACGAAAGCUAGGGGAGCGAAUGGGAUUAGAUACCCCAGUAGUCCUAGCCGUAAACGUUGGAUACUAGGCGUUGCUCGUAUCGACCCGAGCAGUGUCGUAGCUAACGCGUUAAGUAUCCCGCCUGGGGAGU